rnacentral:rRNA from 1 species
GCAAAACGCGAAGAACCUUACCAAGGCUUGACAUAUAGAGGAAACGGCUGGAAACAGUCGCCCCGCAAGGUCUCUAUACAGGUGGUGCAUGGUUGUCGUCAGCUCGUGUCGUGAGAUGUUGGGUUAAGUCCCGCAACGAGCGCAACCCUCGUUCUAUGUUGCCAGCACGUAAUGGUGGGAACUCAUGGGAUACUGCCGGGGUCAACUCGGAGGAAGGUGGGGAUGACGUCAAAUCAUCAUGCCCCUUAUGUCUUGGGCUUCACGCAUGCUACAAUGGCCGGUACAAAGGGCUGCAAUACCGUAAGGUGGAGCGAAUCCCAAAAAGCCGGUCCCAGUUCGGAUUGAGGUCUGCAACUCGACCUCAUGAAGUCGGAGUCGCUAGUAAUCGCAGAUCAGCAACGCUGCGGUGAAUACGUUCCCGGGUCUUGUACACACCG